UACAGAGGGUGCAACCGUUGCUCGGAAUCAUUGGGCGUAAAGCGCACGUAGGCGGCGCGUUAAGUCGGAUGUGAAAGCCCCGGGCUCAACCCGGGAAGUGCAUACGAAACUGGCGCGCUUGAGUAUGGAAGAGGGUCGCGGAAUUCCCGGUGUAGAGGUGAAAUUCGUAGAUAUCGGGAGGAACACCAGUGGCGAAGGCGGCGACCUGGGCCAAUACUAACGCUGAGGUACGAAAGCGUGGGGAGCAAACAGG
rnacentral:rRNA from 1 species